rnacentral:rRNA from 1 species
UACGUAGGGUGCGAGCGUUAAUCGGAAUUACUGGGCGUAAAGCGUGCGCAGGCGGUUCGUUAAGUUCGUCGUGAAAGCCCCGGGCUCAACCUGGGAAUGGCGAUGGAAACUGGCGGGCUGGAGUGCGGCAGAGGGGGGGUGGGAAUUCCACGUGUAGCAGUGAAAUGCGUAGAUAUGCGGAGGAACACCGAUGGCGCAGGCAAUCCCCUGGGCCUGCACUGACGCUCAUGCACGAAAGCGUGGGGAGCAAACAGG